rnacentral:rRNA from 1 species
GAUGAACGCUGGCGGCGUGCCUAAUACAUGCAAGUCGAGCGAACGGACGAGAAGCUUGCUUCUCUGAUGUUAGCGGCGGACGGGUGAGUAACACGUGGAUAACCUACCUAUAAGACUGGGGUAACUUCGGGAAACCGGAGCUAAUACCGGAUGAUAUUUUGAACCGCAUGGUUCAAAAGUGAAAGACGGUCUUGCUGUCACUUAUAGAUGGAUCCGCGCUGCAUUAGCUAGUUGGUAAGGUAACGGCUUACCAAGGCAACGAUGCAUAGCCGACCUGAGAGGGUGAUCGGCCACACUGGAACUGAGACACGGUCCAGACUCCUACGGGAGGCAGCAGUAGGGAAUCUUCCGCAAUGGGCGAAAGCCUGACGGAGCAACGCCGCGUGAGUGAUGAAGGUCUUCGGAUCGUAAAACUCUGUUAUUAGGGAAGAACAUAUGUGUAAGUAACUGUUCACAUCUUGACGGUACCUAAUCAGAAAGCCACGGCUAACUACGUG